GACGAACGCUGGCGGCGUGCUUAACACAUGCAAGUCGAGCGGUAAGGCCCUUUCGGGGGUACACGAGCGGCGAACGGGUGAGUAACACGUGGGUGACCUGCCCUCAGCUCUGGGAUAAGCCUGGGAAACCGGGUCUAAUACUGGAUAUGACUCCAUGACGCAUGUUGUGGGUGGAAAGCCUUGUGCGGCUGAGGAUGGGCCCGNGGCCUAUCAGCUUGUUGGUGGGGGUNAGGCCUACCAAGGCGACGACGGGUAGCCGGCCUGAGAGGGCGACCGGCCACACUGGGACUGAGACACGGCCCAGACUCCUACGGGAGGCAGCAGUGGGGAAUCUUGCGCAAUGGGCGAAAGCCCUGA
rnacentral:rRNA from 1 species